rnacentral:rRNA from 1 species
GACGAACGCUGGCGGCGUGCCUAAUACAUGCAAGUCGAACGCUGAAGAGAGGAGCUUGCUCUUCUGGGGUGAGUUGCGAACGGGUGAGUAACGCGUAGGUAACCUGCCUUUUAGCGUGGGAUAACUAUGGGAAACGAUAGCUAAUACCGCAUAACAUUGUGUAACACAUGUCUCUUUUGUGAAAGACGCAAUUGCUGUACUACAUGAUUGACUUGCGUUGGAUUAGGUAGUAGGUGAGGUAAUGGCUCUCCUAGGCGACGAUACAGAGCCGGCCUGAGAGGGUGGUCGGCCACACUGGGACUGAGACACGGCCCAGACUCCUUAGGGAGGGAGCAGUAGGGAAUCUUCGGGAAUGGGGGGAACCCUGGACGGGGAACGCCGGGGGAGUGGAGAAGGUUUUCGGGUCGGAAAGAUCUGUUGUAAGGGGAGAACGGGAGGGGGAGUGGAAAGUGCACGCUGUGACGGUAGCUAAUCAGAAAGGGACGGCUAACUACGUG